rnacentral:misc_RNA from 1 species
GCAUUACCAUUUUCCCCUGACCGCAUCAAGAGCGCAGAGUUGAUGGGUACAGGCCCAACAAAUGUGCUCCCGAUAGGCUGACUUAAAGGCAGCCUGUAAGCCUCAUUGCUUUGACCUCAGCUUGGGAAGUGAGAGCAGAAACAAUACGGUCCCGCAAUAGCCAUGAGAGUAUCACUGAUUAUAAUUCUCUAAUAGUUCUAAGUACAGUUAUAUAAUUGAGGCAUAAUCAAAAUCUGAUUUUUUGAGUGGAAUUUGUGGCAUCAACCUAUAAAAUUUAUCAAUUUUCA